CGUUGCCUAGUCUACGCCAUUUUACCUGCUGUUGUUGUGCUAGCUGAUUAGCUGUUGUCUCACCUACUGUUUUAGCUAGCUUUCCCAAUUCAACACCUGUGAUUACUGUAUGCCUCGCUGUAUGUCUCUCUCAAAUGUCAAUAUGCCUUGUAUACUGUUGUUCAGGUUAGUUAUCAUUGUUUUAGUUCACAAUGGAGCCCCUAGUUCCACUCUUUAUACCCCUGAUAACUCCUUUGUCCCACCUCCCACACAUGCGGUGACCUCACCCAUUACUACCAGCAUGUCCAGAGAUACAACCUCUCUCAUCAUCACCCAGUGCCUGGGCUUACCUCCGCUGUACCCGCACCCCACCAUACCCCUGUCUGCGCAUUAUGCCCUGAAUAUAUUCUACCAUGCCCAGAAACCUGCUCCUCUUAUUCUCUGUCCCCAACGCUCUAGGCGACCAGUUUUGAUAGCCUUUAGCCGCACCCUCAUACUACUCCUUCUCUGUUCCGCGGGUGAUGUGGAGGUAAACCCAGGCCCUGCAUGUCCCCAGGCACCCUCAUUUGUUGACUUCUGUGAUCGAAAAAGCCUUGGUUUCAUGCAUGUCAACAUCAGAAGCCUCCUCCCUAAGUUUGUUUUACUCACUGCUUUAGCACACUCUGCUAACCCUGAUGUCCUUGCUGUGUCUGAAUCCUGGCUCAGGAAGGCCACCAAAAAUUCAGAGAUUUCCAUACCCAACUAUAACAUCUUCCGUCAAGAUAGAACUGCCAAAGGGGGAGGAGUUGCAGUGUACUGCAGAGAUAGCCUGCAAAGUAAUGUCAUACUUUCCAGGUCCAUACCCAAACAGUUCGAACUACUAAUUUUGAAAAUUACUCUCUCCAGAAAUAAGUCACUCACGGUUGCCGCCUGCUACCGACCCCCCUCAGCUCCCAGCUGUGCCCUGGACACCAUUUGUGAAUUGAUCGCCCCCCAUCUAGCUUCAGAGUUUGUUCUGUUAGGUGACCUAAACUGGGAUAUGCUUAACACCCCGCCAGUCCUACAAUCUAAGCUAGAUGCCCUCAAUCUCACACAAAUCAUCAAGGAACCCACCAGGUACAACCC
rnacentral:lncRNA from 1 species